ACUACUUAGUGACCGAUAGCGCAUAGUACCGUGAGGGAAAGGUGAAAAGAACCCCGGGAGGGGAGUGAAAUAGAACCUGAAACCCUGCACUUACAAGCUGUGGGAGCACAUUACUUGUGUGACCGCGUACUUUUUGUAGAACGGGCCAACGAGUUACGUUAAGUAGCAAGGUUAAGCACUUAAGGUGUGGAGCCGUAGCGAAAGCGAGUCUUAAAUGGGCGAUUAAGUUACUUGGCGUAGACCCGAAACCGGGCGACCUAUCCAUGAGCAGGUUGAAGCGAAAGUAAAAUUUCGUGGAGGACCGAACCCACGAGCGUUGAAAAGCUCGGGGAUGACUUGUGGAUAGCGGUGAAAUUCCAAUCGAGCCCGGAGAUAGCUGGUUCUCCCCGAAAUAGCUUUAGGGCUAGCCUCAAGCGUAGAGAAACGGAGGUAGAGCACUGAAUGUCCUAGGGGGUAUUGCACUUACCGAAGACUAUCAAACUCCGAAUGCCGUUUUCUUUUACUUGGGAGUCAGACUGUGGGUGAUAAGAUUCAUAGUCAAAAGGGCAACAGCCCAGAUCGUCAGCUAAGGUCCCUAAAUGUACGUUAAGUGGUAAAGGAUGUGGGAUUGCACAGACAACCAGGAUGUUGGCUUAGAAGCAGCCACUCAUUUAAAGAGUGCGUAAUAGCUCACUGGUCGAGUGAUCCUGCGCCGAAAAUUUCCGGGGCUAAAACGUACUACCGAAGCUACGGCAUCAUUUAUGAUGGGUAGGGGAGCUUCGUAUGCAGGCUGAAGCAUGACCGUAAGGACAUGUGGACAGUAUACGAGUGAGAAUGUUGGCAUGAGUAGCGAGACGUGGGUGAGAAUCCCACGGGCCGUAAACCCAAGGUUUCCAGGGGAAGGUUCGUCCGCCCUGGGUUAGUCGGGACCUAAGCCGAGGCCGAAAGGCGUAGGUGAUGGACAACAGGUUGAUAUUCCUGUACCGCCAAUAAGCGUUUGAGAGAUGGAGUGACACAGUAGGAUAAGCUAACCGUACUGUUGGUUAUGUACGGCUAAGCAUUGAGGCAGUCUAAAUAGGCAAAUCCGUUUAGACAAUGCUAGGAUGUGAUGGGGAAGCCCUUCGGGGCGAAGUAGCUGAUUUCACACUGUCAAGAAAAGCUUCUAUCGAGUUUAAAGGCGCCCGUACCGUAAACCGACACAGGUGGGUGAGGAGAGUAUCCUAAGGCCAGCGAGAGAACUAUUGUUAAGGAACUCGGCAAAAUGACCCCGUAACUUAGGGAGAAGGGGUGCCUGUCUAUGACAGGCCGCAGAGAAUAGGCCCAAGCGACUGUUUACCAAAAACACAGGUUUCUGCUAAGUCGCAAGACGAUGUAUAGGAGCUGACGCCUGCCCGGUGCUGGAAGGUUAAGGGGAUCUGUUAGAGCAAUCGAAGCAGUGAACUUAAGCCCCAGUAAACGGCGGCCGUAACUAUAACGGUCCUAAGGUAGCGAAAUUCCUUGUCGGGUAAGUUCCGACCC
rnacentral:rRNA from 1 species